CUUCGCCACUGGUGGUCCUCCCAGAAUUACAGGAUUUCACCCCUACUCUGGAAAUACCGUCGGCCUCUCCCGUCCCCUAGCCCAACAGUAUCUACCGCAGUCCAACGAUUGAAUCGCUGGAUUUAACGGAAGACUUGCUGAGCCGGCUACGGACGCUUUAAGCCCAAUAAUCGUCCCUACCA
rnacentral:rRNA from 1 species